AGCUUUGCGCAGUGGCAGUAUCGUAGCCAAUGAGGUUUAUCCGAGGCGCGAUUAUUGCUAAUUGAAAAACUAAAAACCAUAAGUUGCCAUGCAGGUUUAUCAUUUUCAUAAUCAUUUUUGUAAUAUUUUUAAAG